UCUCUUUGCCUUUUUACCGCAGUUAAGGAAAGCGCACCCAUAAACGCCCCAUUCUCUCGACGCAAACGUGAUCAGUUCGAAAAUAUCAACGGACCGAAAUUGAGGUACAAAAUCAAGGAGAGAGAGGAGAAAACUCAAAAUGGCACCGCUUUCCUUAUUCUUCCCCGUUCUGCUGGUUCUUCUCUCCUUACCUCAUUACUUUGCCGAGGAGAUUCAUUGGGAAUGUGUGCCACUCGAAAACGGCGACUGCGACUACUACGGUACGCUACUCAAGGAUGGCAGCAGCUACAACAAGGUGUACGAUUGGUGUGGUAUCGUGAAGUGCAACACCUCAGCCAGACUCGUCGAGAUCACCAAGUGUACAAUCCCUCCUCUCUGUCUAGAACCGGAGGGGGGUUUUUACCCAGAUUGUUGUGAGCACCUCAAAUGCAUCAACAGCUAACGACUGCGUUCGUUACGAAAAAUAGCACGCAAUAAAAAGUAUGAAAACCAGA